rnacentral:rRNA from 1 species
AUUGAACGCUGGCGGCAUGCCUUACACAUGCAAGUCGAACGGUAACAGGUCUUCGGAUGCUGACGAGUGGCGAACGGGUGAGUAAUACAUCGGAACGUGCCCGAUCGUGGGGGAUAACGAAGCGAAAGCUUUGCUAAUACCGCAUAAGAUCUACGGAUGAAAGCAGGGGACCGCACGGCCCUGCGCGAACGGAGCGGCCGAUGGCAGAUUAGGUAGUUGGUGGGAUAAAAGCUUCCCAAGCCGACGAUCUGUAGCUGGUCUGAGAGGACGACCAGCCACACUGGGACUGAGACACGGCCCAGACUCCUACGGGAGGCAGCAGUGGGGAAUUUUGGACAAUGGGCGCAAGCCUGAUCCAGCCAUGCCGCGUGCAGGAUGAAGGCCUUCGGGUUGUAAACUGCUUUUGUACGGAACGAAAAGACUCUGGUUAAUACCUGGGGUCCAUGACGGUACCGUAAGAAUAAGCACCGGCUAACUACGUGCCAGCCGCCGCGGUAACAC